rnacentral:lncRNA from 1 species
AGCUGGUAGGAAUCUAAGAGUUUCUGUAUUGGAGAUACUCAGACUUCCACCACAGCAUUUUUGAAGCGUGGGACCCAGGUUUUGAAGAUAACUAAGACUUGUGAGAAAGACAGCAGCAAGUGAAAUUGAAUCCUGCAUCCCCUGGUUUGCAAUAGAUCAAGAGGAAGACAGCCUUAAACAAACCAUAGCCAAACAGCAGACUUGCUGUCAACUCCAGCACGUUACUAAGCUCUGAGGGCUCAGGAGAAACUAACAUGAAGUGACAUGGAAAUGCUGUUUGACACACUCCAGGAGGAGGACUUCAGGCUGCGACAAGGGGGACGGUACCUCAGCAGCCCAAGGGGGAACAGGGAGCCCAUCCUGAGAGAGAAAGCAGGACCCUGUAAGCGAUAG